UACGAAGGGGGCUAGCGUUGCUCGGAAUCACUGGGCGUAAAGGGCGCGUAGGCGGCCUCUUAAGUCGGGGGUGAAAGCCCAGGGCUCAACCCUGGAAUUGCCUUCGAUACUGAGAGUCUUGAGUUCGGAAGAGGUUGGUGGAACUGCGAGUGUAGAGGUGAAAUUCGUAGAUAUUCGCAAGAACACCAGUGGCGAAGGCGGCCAACUGGUCCGAUACUGACGCUGAGGCGCGAAAGCGUGGGGAGCAAACAGG
rnacentral:rRNA from 1 species